UAUUGGGCAAUGGGCGGAAGCCUGACCCAGCCAUGCCGCGUGCAGGAUGAAGGCCUUCUGGGUUGUAAACUGCUUUUACCAGGGAAGAAAACACCCAUGCGUGGGGAACUGACGGUACCACCCGAAUAAGCCACGGCUAACUACGUGCCAGCAGCCGCGGUAAUACGUAGGUGGCGAGCGUUGUCCGGAUUUAUUGGGCGUAAAGCGCGCGCAGGCGGUCCGUUACGUCCGUUGUGAAAGCUCCCGGCUCAACUGGGAGAGGUCUUCGGAUACGGGCGGACUCGAGGAAGGUAGAGGAAGGUGGAAUUCCCGGUGUAGUGGUGAAAUGCGUAGAGAUCGGGAGGAACACCAGUGGCGAAGGCGGCCUUCUGGGCCUUUCCUGACGCUGAGGCGCGAAAGCGUGGGGAGCGAAC
rnacentral:rRNA from 1 species